GAUACUUACGAGUAAAGACGUGUGUUUUGUGUAGUGUUCAAUUUUAAGAAAAAUCUUCAAUAUGGAUCAAGUUGAUGGUGUACAAGGGAAGGGGAUACAAAAGCAUGCUUUACAACCGGCGACAACAAUGAUAAGAGAGUACUGUGCUAUAACGAAAUGUGACUCGCCGCCACCAACAUCACCUACGCCUGAGGAAGAAACUUCGAAAGACGAGAAAAAGACCGACUCGUCGUGAUAGCUGAUUCAAAAUUAAAAUUAACAAAAUUCUCGUAAGACCCCACAAGAUUCGAGAGUGUCCAAAACCUAACAGUAUUAUUUAUUAACCACCAACAUAAUUACAUGCCUACGCCUCGGCGCUCCACUGCGGCUCCGCAUCGCUGCCAGUGUGGUGAAUCUGUGGACCGCCUUGGGCACCAUGGUCUUUCCUGUAGCAAAAGUGCUGGUCGCAUGGCACGACACGCCAGCAUAAAUGACAUUAUCCGUCGUGCUCUUGUCACCGCCGGAGUGCCAGCCAUUUUAGAACCCAGAGGCUUGGCACGCGACGAUGGCAAGAGACCAGACGGGAUGUCUAUAAUGCCUUGGAAGAUGGGAAGGUCUUUGGUGUGGACGCAACCUGCGUCGACACCCUUGCACCUUCCCACCUUCCCAGUACGGCGAGCUGUGUCGGUGCAGCUGCUGCGGCCGCGGAAAACCUCAAGCGGCACAAAUAUGUAAACCUCACCGGCAAUUGCAUUUUUGAGCCGUUUGGGGUUGAAACCCUGGGACCAUGGGGCCCAAGUGCCCACAGACUAUUUCGAGAAAUUAGUAAGCGAUUAGUGGAGUCCACUCGUGACCAAAGGGCUGGCCUAUACUUCGGUCAAAGGAUAUGCAUUGCCAUCCAGCGUGGCAAUGCAGCCAGCCUUUUGGGCACGAUCCCAGCUGACAGCGAUGCGGAUGAAUAUUUUGAUACCUAGUUUUAAUAUUUCCCUAUUAUAGAUUAAUAUUGAUUAUUAUGAAUGAAUAAA